rnacentral:rRNA from 1 species
GUAGGUGGCAAGCGUUGUCCGGAAUUAUUGGGCGUAAAGCGCGCGCAGGCGGUUCUUUAAGUCUGAUGUGAAAGCCCACGGCUCAACCGUGGAGGGUCAUUGGAAACUGGAGAACUUGAGUACAGAAGAGGAAAGCGGAAUUCCACGUGUAGCGGUGAAAUGUGUAGAGAUGUGGAGGAACACCAGUGGCGAAGGCGGCUUUCUGGUCUGUAACUGACGCUGAGGCGCGAAAGCGUGGGGAGCAAACAGGAUUAGAUACCCUGGUAGUCCACGCCGUAAACGAUGAGUGCUAAGUGUUAGGGGGGUUUCCGCCCCCCUUAGUGCUGCAGCUAACGCAUUAAGCACUCCGCCUGGGAGUACGGCCGCAAGGCUG